rnacentral:rRNA from 1 species
UGCUAGGUGUCGGGGGUCGAACCUCGGUGCCGCAGUUAACGCAAUAAGCAUUCCACCUGGGGAGUACGAUCGCAAGAUUGAAACUCAAAGGAAUUGACGGGGGCCCGCACAAGCGGUGGAGCAUGUGGUUUAAUUCGAAGCAACGCGAAGAACCUUACCAAAUCUUGACAUCCUUCUGACCGACUCUUAAUCGAGUCUUUCCUUCGGGACAGAAGUGACAGGUGGUGCAUGGUUGUCGUCAGCUCGUGUCGUGAGAUGUUGGGUUAAGUCCCGCAACGAGCGCAACCCUUAUCUUUAGUAGCCAGCAUUUCGGAUGGGAACUCUAGAGAGACUGCCGGGGACAACUCGGAGGAAGGUGGGGAUGACGUCAAAUCAUCAUGCCCCUUAUGAUUUGGGCUACACACGUGCUACAAUGGCGGAUACAAAGGGAAGCGACAGAGUGAUCUCAAGCAAACCCCAAAAAGUCCGUCCCAGUUCGGAUUGUAGUCUGCAACUCGACUACAUGAAGUUGGAAUCGCUAGUAAUCGUAGAUCAGCAUGCUACGGUGAAUACGUUCCCGGGCCUUGUACACACCGCCCGUCACACCACGGAAGUCGGGAGCGCCCAACGCCAGUGACCUAACCUUCGGGGAGGAGCUGUCUAAGGCGAAAUCGAUGACUGGGGUGAAGUCGUAACAAGGUAGCCGUAUCGGAAGGUGCGGCUG